rnacentral:lncRNA from 1 species
GGGGAUUCCGAGGAGUUAGGUUUUAUAGACUAAGAAGGUACCCAUUGUCCGAGAAAAUGUAUGCCAUUUUUUUCCUUGAGCAUCGUAGAGACGUAACAUGCUCUAGUUGUUUGAGGAUAAUGAUUUGCAUGUUGCGAAGAUUUUUGAGAUUACGAAUCUUACUAAGUAAAAGAUGCAGAGUGGUGGAAUGGUCUGCUACUUAUUUUUUAGUAUAUAGAAGACUCUGAAACUUCUUAGUACGAUCGUAAAAAUCUAGGUAACAGAGGCUAGACAGUCACUUCCUCUC